AGCGCAGGCGGGUUGGCAAGUCCUUGGUGAAAUCCUGAGGCUUAACCUCAGGACUGCCAAUGAUACUGCCGAUCUUGAGUGCAGAAGAGGAAGAUGGAAUUCCUGGUGUAGCGGUGAAAUGCGUAGAUAUCAGGAAGAACACCGGUGGCGAAGGCGGUCUUCUGGUCUGUAACUGACGCUCAUGCUCGAAAGCGUGGGAGCAAACAGGAUUAGAUACCCUGGUAGUCCACGCCCUAAACGAUGGAUACUCGAUGUCGGGUCGCAAGGCCCGGUGUCCAAGCUAACGCGUUAAGUAUCCCACCUGGGGAGUACGAUCGCAAAGGUUGAA
rnacentral:rRNA from 1 species